rnacentral:miRNA from 1 species
UGGUGCCACGCUGUGUGCGUC